AGAUGAGAAAACAGAACAUCAAGGAGGCUGAUGGCUUGGCUGGGAUCACGGAGUUGGUACCUGGUAGGCACAAGACCAGCACAGAAGUUCAGCGAGUUGCACCUUCUCUGUGAAGACUUCCCUCCAAGAUUCUGUAUGGCUCUCAGAGAGGAGGAAGGCGGAGCUCAGAAAGAUCAGACCACAAAGGAACGCCACAGUCGAUGCGCCAGACAUUCAUGUGGACUCCAGGACCUUAAAAUGAAAGAAGAAUCUGCAAGGUUGCUGAACCAAUCUCCUUUGCUUGGGAAACAAAUACUAAGCACUGAUUCUGUACCAAGGAGCUUGCCAGCUCGGCUACAGCGGGGCUCGGACACAGUCUUCCCUUCUAACAACCCACAGCGCAUAGGAAAGGACAGUAAG